AGAGUUUGAUCCUGGCUCAGGACGAACGCUGGCGGCGCGCCUAACACAUGCAAGUCGAACGAGCGAGAGAGAGCUUGCUUUCUCGAGCGAGUGGCGAACGGGUGAGUAACGCGUGAGGAACCUGCCUCAAAGAGGGGGACAACAGUUGGAAACGACUGCUAAUACCGCAUAAGCCCACGGCUCGGCAUCGAGCAGAGGGAAAAGGAGUAAUCCGCUUUGAGAUGGCCUCGCGUCCGAUUAGCUAGUUGGUGAGGUAACGGCCCACCAAGGCGACGAUCGGUAGCCGGACUGAGAGGUUGAACGGCCACAUUGGGACUGAGACACGGCCCAGACUCCUACGGGAGGCAGCAGUGGGGAAUAUUGCACAAUGGGGGAAACCCUGAUGCAGCGACGCCGCGUGGAGGAAGAAGGUCUUCGGAUUGUAAACUCCUGUUGUUGGGGAAGAUAAUGACGGUACCCAACAAGGAAGUGACGGCUAACUACGUGCCAGCAGCCGCGGUAAAACGUAGGUCACAAGCGUUGUCCGGAAUUACUGGGUGUAAAGGGAGCGCAGGCGGGAAGACAAGUUGGAAGUGAAAUCUAUGGGCUCAACCCAUAAACUGCUUUCAAAACUGUUUUUCUUGAGUAGUGCAGAGGUAGGCGGAAUUCCCGGUGUAGCGGUGGAAUGCGUAGAUAUCGGGAGGAACACCAGUGGCGAAGGCGGCCUACUGGGCACCAACUGACGCUGAGGCUCGAAAGUGUGGGUAGCAAACAGGAUUAGAUACCCUGGUAGUCCACACCGUAAACGAUGAUUACUAGGUGUUGGAGGAUUGACCCCUUCAGUGCCGCAGUUAACACAAUAAGUAAUCCACCUGGGGAGUACGACCGCAAGGUUGAAACUCAAAGGAAUUGACGGGGGCCCGCACAAGCAGUGGAGUAUGUGGUUUAAUUCGACGCAACGCGAAGAACCUUACCAAGUCUUGACAUCCCUUGACAGGCAUAGAAAUAUGUUUUCUCUUCGGAGCAAGGAGACAGGUGGUGCAUGGUUGUCGUCAGCUCGUGUCGUGAGAUGUUGGGUUAAGUCCCGCAACGAGCGCAACCCUUAUGGUCAGUUACUACGCAAGAGGACUCUGGCCAGACUGCCGUUGACAAAACGGAGGAAGGUGGGGAUGACGUCAAAUCAUCAUGCCCUUUAUGACUUGGGCUACACACGUACUACAAUGGCGUUAAACAAAGAGAAGCAAGACCGCGAGGUGGAGCAAAACUCAGAAACAACGUCCCAGUUCGGACUGCAGGCUGCAACUCGCCUGCACGAAGUCGGAAUUGCUAGUAAUCGUGGAUCAGCAUGCCACGGUGAAUACGUUCCCGGGCCUUGCACACACCGCCCGUCA
rnacentral:rRNA from 1 species